rnacentral:lncRNA from 1 species
CCGCUCUCCAACUUGGUGCCUGGAGCCACUGUCACAUGGAACCUAUGCACUGCGGGCAGGCGGGGCAAGAGGGCAUCACGGGCGGGCAGGCUGUGUGGCUCCAUCACAGAAGGGGAAACCGAGGCUCAGGGAUCCCCCAGCCUCCAGUUCGGGUGUGGAGAGUCUGGAGUCUGUAUCGAGGCCCCAGCCUGGCCACGGGAACCUCAGGGCACCACCGGCCCUCUCUCCAUCCAGGUCAGCACACCAGGCAGACAGCAGCCUCCCCACCAGGGGCCCCACCUGCUCCAUCUCCAACCCCCAGAGCCAAAGGGACCCCUGUUCCCAUCCCACCUCCCCCUUCUCUGCCUCCUCUACCUGCUCCAAGCUGUGGCCUCAGGCGCAUCCUUGUCAGGCCACGUUCUAUCAAGAUGAAGCUGCCUGGGCGGUGCCCAGCGGCCUCUGUGCCAUGGCCCUGCGCCAGCGGAUGAAGGAAGCAGACCCAUGCCGCUGAGCCAGGCUGGAGGGAACCCCCAACGGGAGAACUUUCUGGAAAGAUGCAGUUCUUCCCUCCUAAUGUCUCCUUCCCCUGCGCCCUCCUGCAGAGCCAACCGCACCUCCUCCCACUAAGCCCCCAGCUUCUCUCUCCCCACUCAAUGGAGCAGGAGGGGCUGCUGCCUUGGGGACAAGACUGGGGGAGCGGGACACUCACCUCCAAGGCCAAAGAACUCAGCCAUCAAGGGCCAGGAUAUUUUAAUCAAUAUUUUAAAAAGUAAAGUUAUGCAGAGUCCAUGCUGAUCAAAAUA